AAGGAAGGCAUACUAAACACAUAUUCUAGAAAAUGUAAUACAAGUGGGGGUGUCAAUUUUUGAAUAGAAAGAGAACUUUAAGAGGAAAUGUUCUUGGUGGCUGCUUUUUAUUUACAGAAAAUAAUUAAAAAAACACAUGUUUCUGUAAAAGACGCUGCCUUGUGAGGUAGCCCAAUCCAAGACCAUACGCGUAUCCUAAGGACAAGUAAGUUACGCCUAUGAUAUAGCAAGUCAACGCGGCUUCUUAUGUGGUCUCUCAUACCUGACCCCUCACUUUACCUAGAACAAGAAGCAUACCACCAGAGCAAAGUUCCCUCACUUUACCUAGAACAAGAAGCAUACCACCAGAG
rnacentral:lncRNA from 1 species